UUCAAUGGUGAUUCAGGCGGGGGAGGCCUCGGCCUCGCCGGAUGAUGACUCCCGGUACUGCGAACCCUGCCUUGAAUCACCACCAUC
rfam:Xenorhabdus doucetiae str. FRM16 chromosome, complete genome.